UCCGGCUGUUCAAAGGCAGCGGUUCCGGCCUCAGGAGGGCCCAGGCUUCUGGGCAGUGUGGAUGUGUUUUAUUAGUGUUGUGCGGUAUUCGGCGUGGUCCUUAGAACUCGCCGCCUGAGCUUAUUUCGUGAACGGCUUCUUCUGUUCCUCGGGGUACCGGACUUACUGUGCUCCUAGCUUCACCCAGUUUCCCGAUGGUGCUUUGAGCUGAGCAACUUUCCUCCACUGGGCCCUUACCCCCGAUAUGCUGCCUCACCUGAGGUUCAGAGCAAUGGAUUUGGCUGUUUAUGGACUGCGAUCUCUUAAAACAUGAUCGCUAUAUAAACUUUUCCUGCUAUCUUUAUUGUAGGCCUUAGAUUCAUGGUGACUAGAAGGAUAUUUUAAGACAACUGAAAGUCUCUGGCUGGAGAUACUCUGCUGGGACUGAAACUCUUGAUUGAGAUUCAGAUCCUCCAGACCCUAGAGAACCUCGGUGGUCCUGAGUCAGGUUACCCCUUCUCUCUGGGAACCCUUCUUCAGAGACAUCCCCUCUUCUGCGAUAACCUCUAUCUCUGGACCAACCAAACGUUGUGGGACCUCACUCAAGUCUCAAAUCAGUGGGAACUUGAAUUCACAUUUAAGCUUGCUCAAAUUUGGCUAUUGUGAGCUCUGGAAGUUUGUUCCUGUGUUCCUUUGAUAUAUUCCUAUCAACAAGGGAAGAACUGAGAACCUGUGUUGCUUCUUCAAGACCAAAUCUGCCAACCACUUCAGUGGGAAGGACAUGGAUCAAGGGCAAGUAAAACACCACAAAACAUCCUAUUAUUUUAAAGGAUCGAACCCAGCACCCCGCCCAAGCCAAGUGAGUGUGUUACCGCUUGAGCCACAUCCCCAGCCCUUGAAGGAAACAUUGCAAAGAACCACCCUCUCCCUGUUACUUGGAUAAGACCUCCUUGUUUACCUACAGACGCAGACCCUCCAAAUUCCCAUUCUUUGCCUCCCAAGUGAUUAGAUAAACUGUACUCGCUGACAAAUCAGGACAAUAUACCUGCUCCCUUGAUUUGACUAAAGUUAGUUAAGUUUUUCUGCUUACCCCAGGCCCUUUAAUUUUGACCCAUCCUUGGUUGAGCCAACACACAAUGACUCUUUAAUGGCUCAUUUCUUAGGGGGGAAAAAUUCACUGUCCAAUCCCCAUACUAUUUCAUUCCAGUUCUCCCCUCCUAGUUCUUUCCGUCCUUGUUCAUUUCUCCUUACAAAAGAAUAGCUAACAAUUUAAAUUUAAUUAAAAAAGGAUAGAGAACUGUGUCCUUAAAAGAACAGGAGAGUAGGAUACAGACAUGCAUGUGCAUAGAAGAAUGACCAUGUUUGAGCACAGUUGGAAACUGGACAUCUGCAAGCCAUGAAAAGAGGACUCAGAAAAAACCAAACCUACCAACAUCUGGAUCUCUGUCCUCAAGAACUGUGAGCAAAUAAAAUUCUGUUGUUUAAGCCA